UAUACAAAGGUAAGGAGAAGAACUGCAUAAUCGUGCAGCAAAUGCUAAGAUAGGUAGCCAUACCUUUUUUACAUUGUCUAAGCCUUUAUGCUAUGCUUUUGAAGAACUGAGUAUUAUAACAAUAAGAAACUUAGUGUCAGAAUGUGACAAAUAACAGUCCAAGAUCUCAACUUGAACAAUGAUAGAAUGAAGGAUAAGCAGUUGAUAUACAGGAACUUGAACUACAGACACAAUUUGAUGAACCUGAGUCUUUUUAUCCUUGUCUGUUGGGAGUUUGGUAGUUACUUGCAGAUGCUGCUGUGCCUCUCCCAAUAAAUCUGUAACUGCCCACAACAAUGAGAAAGACAUCUGACUACUUUUAAACUUUUAAUUUACAAUAUCUUUAGUUUUAUUAAUAAUUAUAAUACCUGUGAUGUGCUGUAUUUGAGAUAAUCAUAUUCAUAGUUGGUAUACACAAUAUAAAUAAACACUUAACAAACAAUUAGCAGCUACUUCA
rnacentral:lncRNA from 1 species